GACGAACGCUGGCGGCGUGCCUAAUACAUGCAAGUCGAACGCACUGACGUCGACAGAAGGUGCUUGCACUGGAAGUUGAUUGACGUGAGUGGCGGACGGGUGAGUAACACGUGAGUAACCUGCCCUUAAGCGGGGGAUAACAUUUGGAAACAGAUGCUAAUACCGCAUAAAAGUUGAGAUCACAUGGUCUUAAUUUGAAAGACGGCCUUUGGCUGUCACUUAAGGAUGGACCCGCGGCGUAUUAGCUAGUUGGUGAGAUAAUAGCCCACCAAGGCGAUGAUACGGAGCCGACCUGAGAGGGUAAUCGGCCACAUUGGGACUGAGACACGGCCCAAACUCCGACGGGAGGCAGCAGUAGGGAAUCUUCCACAAUGGACGAAAGUCUGAUGGAGCAACGCCGCGUGAGUGAAGAAGGUUUUCGGAUCGUAAAACUCUGUUAUUGGAGAAGAACAGGGACUAGAGUAACUGUUAGUCCUUUGACGGUAUCCAACCAGAAAGCCACGGCUAACUACGUGCCAGCCGCCGCUGUAA
rnacentral:rRNA from 1 species